GCCAGAGUGCUGGAAUUGGCAGACAGGCACGGCUUAGGACCGUGUGCCUUAACAGGCGUGUGGGUUCAACUCCCACCUCUGGCA
rnacentral:tRNA from 1 species